rfam:Arabis alpina cultivar Pajares scaff_63292_1_contig_3, whole genome shotgun sequence.
AACCCGUGAUGAGGACAGUCUCUCUGAUAUUCCUUGAAUCUUUCCCAUGCAGCCUUGAAAGAAUCGGUCAGAUUCUGAACGAAUGUAGAGAUCUUAGCUCGUAGAU